AGUGAACGCUGGCGGCGUGCUUAACACAUGCAAGUCGAACGAGAACGGGCUAUAGCUUGCUAUAGUUGUCAGCUAAGUGGCGCACGGGUGAGUAAUGUAUAGGUAAAAUGCCUCUUACUAAGGGAUAACAAAUGGAAACGUUUGCUAAUACCUUAUACUCCUUAUUAACAGAAGUUAAUAAGGGAAAGAUUUAUUGGUAAGAGAUUAGCCUGUAUUGUAUCAGUUAGUUGGUGGGGUAAUGGCUUACCAAGACUAUGACACAUAACUGGUUUGAGAGGAUGAUCAGUCACACUGGAACUGAGACACGGUCCAGACUCCUACGGGAGGCAGCAGUGGGGAAUAUUGCACAAUGGACGAAAGUCUGAUGCAGCAACGCCGCAUGGAGGAUGACACAUUUCGGUGCGUAAACUCCUUUUAUAUGAGAAGAUAAUGACGGUAUUAUAUGAAUAAGCACCGGCUAACUCCGUGCCAGCAGCCGCGGUAA
rnacentral:rRNA from 1 species